rnacentral:tRNA from 1 species
GCCCUUAUAGCUCAGUGGUAGAGCGCAUCACUAGUAUUCAGUUAGUUAAUGAUUACGUAAUACGAAUGAUGAGGUCCUCUGUUCGAUCCAGGGUGAGGGCA